CAAGUAGGCGGUUCGUUAAGUCAGAUGUGAAAUCCCUCCGCUCAACGGAGGAAUGGCAUCCGAUACUGGCGGACUUGAGGAGUGGAGAAGCGAGUGGAAUUCUCGGUGUAGCGGUGGAAUGCGUAGAUAUCGAGAAGAACUCCAGUGGCGAAGGCGGCUCGCUAGACACAUCCUGACGCUGAAUUGCGAAAGCCAGGGGAGCGAACG
rnacentral:rRNA from 1 species